rfam:Triticum aestivum genome assembly, contig: Triticum_aestivum_CS42_TGACv1_scaffold_272144_3DS
GAAAUACUCCCUCCGUCCCAAAAUUCUUAUCUUAAAUUUAUCUAGAUACGGGUGUAUCUAAUACUAAAAUGUGACUUGAUACAUCCGUAUUUAGAUAAAUCUAAGACAAGAAUUUUGAGACGGAGGUAGUAUAAG